rnacentral:rRNA from 1 species
ACAUGCCUACAACAUAAUGUUAAUGCAUCGGAUCCCAUUAGAAUUCUGUAGUUAGGUGCGCUUGGGCUAGAGCAGUACUAGGAUGGGUGACCACUCGGGAAGUCCUAGUAUUUUACAUGAC